GACGAACGCUAGCGGCAGGCUUAAUACAUGCAAGUCGAGGGGCAUCACGAGUAGCAAUACUUGGUGGCGACCGGCGCACGGGUGCGUAACGCGUAUGCAAUCUACCUUCAACAGGGGGAUAACUCUGGGAAACCGGAACUAAUACCCCAUAGAAUUAUGAAUCGGCAUCGAUUUAUACUUAAAGAUUUAUUGGUUGGAGAUGAGCAUGCGUUCGAUUAGAUAGUUGGUGAGGUAAUGGCUCACCAAGUCCACGAUCGAUAGGGGUUCUGAGAGGAUGAUCCCCCACAUUGGUACUGAGACACGGACCAAACUCCUACGGGAGGCAGCAGUAGGGAAUAUUGGGCAAUGGACGCGAGUCUGACCCAGCCAUGCCGCGUGCAGGACUACGGCGCUAUGCGUUGUAAACUGCUUUUAUACUGGGGUAAUACU
rnacentral:rRNA from 1 species